UGAGAUUAGUUGGGUAACACAACAUGGAC
rnacentral:piRNA from 1 species